AUGUAUGAUCGACGAAAGUUUUAUAAAAAAAACAGAAAAAGAUUUUCUUCCUUUUCUUCCUGGCUGCAGAAUCAAAACAGUGGUCCUAACGACCCAGGCUGUCCGGUCAGAGUUUCAGUGAUGACAGAGUUACCCACGAUUAUGAAAUUUCUCCUGCGCCUUCAUUCAUCCUCCCUCCCAUCCCCGCAGCACAUAUGGUUUAUUUCCAUCGUCCAAAAAAUAAAGGACUAUCAUGGAUGUCAAGCAGCAGGCCCACAGCUGGAAGGAGAAAAUAAGCACAACUCAUUCAAAACAUU
rnacentral:lncRNA from 1 species